UGAACGCUGGCGGCGUGCUUAACACAUGCAAGUCGAACGAAGCACUUAUGACAGAUUCUUCGGAAGAUGGAUUAAGUGACUGAGUGGCGGACGGGUGAGUAACGCGUGGGUAACCUGCCUCAUACAGGGGGAUAACAGUUAGAAAUGACUGCUAAUACCGCAUAAGCGCACAGUACCGCAUGGUACGGUGUGAAAAACUCCGGUGGUAUGAGAUGGACCCGCGUCUGAUUAGCUAGUUGGUGGGUAACGGCCUACCAAGGCGACGAUCAGUAGCCGACCUGAGAGGGUGACCGGCCACAUUGGGACUGAGACACGGCCCAAACUCCUACGGGAGGCAGCAGUGGGGAAUAUUGCACAAUGGGCGAAAGCCUGAUGCAGCGACGCCGCGUGAGCGAUGAAGUAUUUCGGUAUGUAAAGCUCUAUCAGCAGGGAAGAAAAUGACGGUACCUGACUAAGAAGCACCGGCUAAAUACGUG
rnacentral:rRNA from 1 species